UAGUUUGUUAUUCCACCAUUUUAAAUAAGAACCUUUCCAUAAUCAGUUUUCAGGUUGCAAAACUUCAUACGUUUCAUCAAAAUAAAUUCAUACGACCUCUUUUUUUUUUUUUUUUUGAGGUUUGUUGAUUUUAUUUCAUCAAUUGCAAUGAAAGUUCAUGCGUUCCAUAAAAAAAAUCAUAGGACCUCUUUUUUUUUCUCUCUCAUCAAUUACAAUGAAUAUUUCAGUAUUCAUACACCAUUCCGACGUUUGGAUUAACGAUAUUAUACCAUAAUCACCCAAACCCCUUUCGUUGUUGUUGUUUGAUAUGAAGGGAAACUAGAUCAUUACAAGUUGCAAGAAUAGUGAAGUUAAGGUUGGACAAAUCUACAAGGACAAGCGUACUGUUAUUUCAGUUAUUGCAUGGUAUGCCAUUGAGCAUUCCUUGUAAUUGAUCUAACAAAAAAGAUCUGUAGCUUGUUUAUGCCCAAAAAAAACUGACAAAAAAAGUUGUAUCUUGUUUACCGUUUCAAAAGUAGUUAUUUAUUUCUUGUUUAUUCAAUCAUGCAUUUAACGUAAAAUUGAUUGUUGUUUUACGUAGUUCUAUUUUUUGUUAUUUUUAGUAGGUUGAGAUACAGAUUUGGUCUAACUAGAUACAUUUUUCUAUCAUCUUGUAUCUCUAGUUCGGUUUAUGUAUAUAUAUGUAUCUCUUGGUGUUUUAGUUUUAGUGAUAUCAGCAUACCGAAAAUACAUAUUAGUAGUGUUAAAGAUACAUAUUGUGCGAGAUUGUACAUAUAUGUAUCUCCCGUUAAUUUUUUAUGUACGAUAAAAUACAUUUUUUAACAUAUUGCCGUUGAAAGUACAUAUAACUAACGUGAGAUACAUCAUACAGAUUCGUUUAUGUAAUUUUUCCUUGAUAUUAUUCUUGUUUAAAAAAUAAAAGGAAAAAAAUGUUGAAUAGAUACAAACAAACGCUAAAUUUCACGUACUAUUUUUAAUUGUCU
rnacentral:lncRNA from 1 species